UAUAUUUUAGUGUAAAUAAAGAUGCACAAGGAUUUUUGAUUUCCUAAGUUACGGUUUAAUUCCGUAGAAUAUAA
rnacentral:tRNA from 1 species